rnacentral:misc_RNA from 1 species
GAUGAAGAACGUAGCGAAAUGCGAUAAGUAAUGCGAAUUGCAGAAUUCCAGUGAGUCAUCGAAUCUUUGAACGCACAUUGCGCCCUUUGGUAUUCCGAAGGGCAUGCCUGUUCGAGCGUCAUUAUCACCCCUCAAGCCCCUGGGCUUGGUGUUGGACGGUUUGGCGGGAGGCCCCCCGGGGCCCUCCUGCCCCUCCUAAAGACAAUGACGGCGGCCUCGUUGGACCCCCGGUACACUGAGUUCUUCACGGGACACGUACUGGAUCAAGGGUGCGCGGGACACGGUCUACCUCCCCCUCGUGGGAGAAAACUUUUUAUCAAGGGUGACCUCGGAUCAGGUAGGGAUACCCGCUGAACUUAAGCAUAUCAAUAAGCGGAGGA